rnacentral:rRNA from 1 species
CAGCAGUGAGGAAUUUUCCACAAUGGGCGAAAGCCUGAUGGAGCAAUACCGCGUGGAGGAAGAAGGUUCAUGGAUCGUAAACUCCUUUUCUCAGAGAAGAAGAUCUGACGGUAUCUGAGGAAUAAGCUCCGGCUAACUCCGUGCCAGCAGCCGCGGUAAUACGGGGGGAGCAAGCGUUAUCCGGAAUGAUUGGGCGUAAAGCGUCUGUAGGUGGUUUUUUAAGUCUGCUGUCAAAUACAUUGGCUCAACCAAUGGCAGGCAGUGGAGUACUAAAGAACUAGAGUUCGGUAGAGGUAGAGGGAAUCCCUGGCGUAACAGUGAAAUGUGUAGAUUUUAGGGAGAACACCAGCGGCGAAGGCGCUCUA